UCUGUGGGAGCUCAAAGAGACUCGCUCUGAUCUUCAGCAGGCCUUGCAAAAAGCAGAAUGUCUCUCGGCAUCUGUGGAUGAAUGGAAGAGGUCUAGACAAAAACAUUGCCGGAGCCAGAGUGAAGAGAGAGAUGACAAUUUAGUUGUUCUGCAUCCCUCUAGCGUUGUGAAUGCGGCCCUGUCCACAUUCUCUGCGUCUCCUGACUCCAGACAUUAUGAGACACAAAGCACCUCAGAAGCCCUGAAGAAACGUCAGGGGUGCACAUCAGGGUCUCGUUCACGGACGUCUUCUGUCACGGUCUACAGUGUGCUGGUGGAUGAU